UUUGAUCCUGGCUCAGAUUGAACGCUGGCGGCAUGCCUUACACAUGCAAGUCGAACGGCAGCACGGGGGCAACCCUGGUGGCGAGUGGCGAACGGGUGAGUAAUACAUCGGAACGUGUCCUGUAGUGGGGGAUAGCCCGGCGAAAGCCGGAUUAAUACCGCAUACGAUCUACGGAAGAAAGCGGGGGAUCGCAAGACCUCGCGCUAUAGGGGCGGCCGAUGGCAGAUUAGCUAGUUGGUGGGGUAAAGGCCUACCAAGGCGACGAUCUGUAGCUGGUCUGAGAGGACGACCAGCCACACUGGGACUGAGACACGGCCCAGACUCCUACGGGAGGCAGCAGUGGGGAAUUUUGGACAAUGGGGGAAACCCUGAUCCAGCAAUGCCGCGUGUGUGAAGAAGGCCUUCGGGUUGUAAAGCACUUUUGUCCGGAAAGAAAACCUUUGGGCUAAUACCCUGAGGGGAUGACGGUACCGGAAGAAUAAGCACCGGAAUACAU
rnacentral:rRNA from 2 species